rnacentral:rRNA from 1 species
GACGAACGCUGGCGGCGUGCUUAACACAUGCAAGUCGAGCGAGAGAAAUUCCUUCGGGAAGGACUCUAGCGGCGGACGGGUGAGUAACACGUGGGUAACCUGCCUCAUAGAGGGGAAUAGCCUUUCGAAAGGAAGAUUAAUACCGCAUAAGAUUGUAGUAUCGCAUGAUGCAGCAAUUAAAGGAGUAAUCCGCUAUGAGAUGGACCCGCGUCGCAUUAGCUAGUUGGUGAGGUAACGGCUCACCAAGGCGACGAUGCGUAGCCGACCUGAGAGGGUGAUCGGCCACAUUGGGACUGAGACACGGCCCAGACUCCUACGGGAGGCAGCAGUGGGGAAUAUUGCACAAUGGGGGAAACCCUGAUGCAGCAACGCCGCGUGAGUGAUGACGGUCUUCGGAUUGUAAAACUCUGUCUUCAGGGACGAUAAUGACGGUACCUGAGGAGGAAGCCACGGCUAACUACGUGCCAGCAGCCGCCGUAA